rnacentral:rRNA from 1 species
GAUAAACGCUGGCGGCGUGCUUAACACAUGCAAGUCGAACGAAGCAUUUAGAACGGAUUACUUCGGUUUGAAGUUCUUUAUGACUGAGUGGCGGACGGGUGAGUAACGCGUGGGUAACCUGCCUUGUACUGGGGGAUAGCAGCUGGAAACGGCUGGUAAUACCGCAUAAGCGCACAAUGUUGCAUGACAUGGUGUGAAAAACUCCGGUGGUAUAAGAUGGACCCGCGUCUGAUUAGCUAGUUGGUGAGAUAACAGCCCACCAAGGCGACGAUCAGGACCCGAACUGAGGGGGUGACCGGCCCGAUUGGGACUGAGACACGGCCCAGACACCUACGGGAGGCUGCAGUGGGGAAUAUUGCACAAUGGAGGAAACUCUGAUGCAGCGACGCCGCGUGAGUGAAGAAGUAAUUCGUUAUGUAAAGCUCUAUCAGCAGGGAAGAUAGUGACGGUACCUGACUAAGAAGCUCCGGCUAAAUACGUGCCAGCAGCCGCCGUAA